rnacentral:rRNA from 1 species
UACGUAGGGGGCGAGCGUUACCCGGAAUCACUGGGCGUAAAGAGAGCGUAGGCGGUUUGGAAAGUCAUUUGUGAAAGCUCCUGGCUCAACUAGGAGAGGUCAAGUGAAACUUCCUGACUUGAGGACGGUAGAGGUAAGCGGAAUUCUUGGUGUAGCGGUGAAAUGCGUAGAUAUCAAGAAGAACACCAGAGGCGAAGGCGGCUUACUGGGCCGUUUCUGACGCUGAGGCUCGAGAGCGUGGGUAGCAAAC